rnacentral:rRNA from 1 species
CUACGUAGGGAGCGAGCGUUGUCCGGAAUUACUGGGUGUAAAGGGAGCGUAGGCGGGAGUGCAAGUCAGAUGUGAAAUACAUGGGCUCAACACAUGGGCUGCAUAUGAAACUGCAUUUCUUGAGUGAAGUAGAGGAAAGCGGAAUUCCUGGUGUAGCGGUGAAAUGCGUAGAUAUCAGGAGGAACACCGGUGGCGAAGGCGGCUUACUGGGCUUUUACGGACGCUGAGGCUCGAAAGCGUGGUGAGCAAACAGGAUUAGAUACCCUGGUAGUCCACGCUGUAAACGAUGAUUACUAGGUGUGUGGGGACUGACCCCUUCCGUGCCGCAGUUAACACAAUAAGUAAUCCACCUGGGGAGUACGGCCGCAAGGUUGAAACUCAAAGGAAUUGACGGGG